rnacentral:piRNA from 1 species
UGUCGGAUAGCCUUAUGUCCCCUGCGUGUC